GAUGAACGCUGGCGGCGUGCCUAAUACAUGCCAGUCGAGCGAACACACGAUUAGCUUUCUCCUCUUACGUUAGCGCCUGACGGGUGAGUAACACUUAUAUAACCUACCUAUUUUACUUGGAUAACUUCGGGAAACCAUAUCUAAUACCUUAUAAUAUAUUGAACCGCAUGGUUCAAUAGUUAAAGACGGUUUUGCUGUCACUUUUAGAUGGAUCCGCGCCGCAUUAGCUAGUUGGUAAGGUAACGUCUUACCAAGGCAACGAUGCGUAGCCGACCUGAGAGGGGGAUAGGCCACACUGGAAAUGAGACACGGUACAGACACAUACGGGAGGGAGCAGUAGGGAAUAUUAAGAAAUGGGCGAAAGCUUGAGGGAGAAAAGCCGCGUGAGUGAGGAAGGACUUAGGAUAGUAAAACUCUGUUAUUAGGGAAGAAAAAAAGUGGAAGAAAAGAUGAAAGUGUUGACGGUACCGAAUAAGAAAGCAACGGCUAACUACGUG
rnacentral:rRNA from 1 species